rnacentral:rRNA from 1 species
GCCUGAUGCGCCAUGCCGCGUGUAUGAAGAAGGCCUUCGGGUUGUAAAGUACUUUCAGUUGUGAGGAAGGGGGUAGUGUUAAUAGCGCUAUCUCUUGACGUUAGCAACAGAAGAAGCACCGGCUAACUCCGUGCCAGCAGCCGCGGUAAUACGGAGGGUGCGAGCGUUAAUCGGAAUUACUGGGCGUAAAGCGCAUGCAGGUGGUUCAUUAAGUCAGAUGUGAAAGCCCGGGGCUCAACCUCGGAACUGCAUUUGAAACUGGUGAACUAGAGUACUGUAGAGGGGGGUAGAAUUUCAGGUGUAGCGGUGAAAUGCGUAGAGAUCUGAAGGAAUACCAGUGGCGAAGGCGGCCCCCUGGACAGAUACUGACACUCAGAUGCGAAAGCGUGGGGAGCAAACAGGAUUAGAUACCCUGGUAGUCCACGCCGUAAACGAUGUCUACUUGGAGGUUGUGGCCUUGAGCCGUGGCUUUCGGAGCUAACGCGUUAAGUAGACCGCCUGGGGAGUACGGUCGCAAGAUUAAAACUCAAAUGAAUUGACGGGGGCCCGCACAAGCGGUGGAGCAUGUGGUUUAAUUCGAUGCAACGCGAAGAACCUUACCUACUCUUGACAUCCAGAGAAGCCAGCGGAGACGCAGGUGUGCCUUCGGGAGCUCUGAGACAGGUGCUGCAUGGCUGUCGUCAGCUCGUGUUGUGAAAUGUUGGGUUAAGUCCCGCAACGAGCGCAACCCUUAUCCUUGUUUGCCAGCGAGUAAUGUCGGGAACUCCAGGGAGACUGCCGGUGAUAAACCGGAGGAAGGUGGGGACGACGUCAAGUCAUCAUGGCCCUUACGAGUAGGGCUACACACGUGCUACAAUGGCGCAUACAGAGGGCAGCAAGCUAGCGAUAGUGAGCGAAUCCCAAAAAGUGCGUCGUAGUCCGGAUUGGAGUCUGCAACUCGACUCCAUGAAGUCGGAAUCGCUAGUAAUCGUAGAUCAGAAUGCUACGGUGAAUACGUUCCCGGGCCUUGUACACACCGCCCGUCACACCAUGGGAGUGGGCUGCAAAAGAAGUGGGUAGUUUAACCUUUCGGGGAGGACGCUCACCACUUUG